CGGUUUAGGCUUUACCCACAGUACAAAGGACAACUUGGAAUGAAGGAAAAGCUGUUAUGAACAAUGGAGACUAGUGUCCUUUGAGAGCGAGAGAUUGGAUAUUCGAUGCAAACGGAACUUGAUCCGAAGUGGUAUCUUGAGAUGCAAUUCAGAAAGAGUUUGAUGGAGGCACUGGUGCUACUUCGUAAAAUGGGGCAAUGACAGGUCUAGUCUUGAAUUUGGGUCUGUUCUGCGCAAAGGUAUGGUUAGGCGAGCUUCGUCAAAUAGAGAUUGCGUGGCCUCGUGAUGAGCAAAAUCAAAUACAGCAUGGAAAGGGUAGGUUUGCAAUAAGGAAGGAAGGAUGAUUCAAUGAAGGUUAUGGAAUUGGGCAUAGAGGGAAGAUUGGUUCUUCCAAAGAGAAAAAGGGUCUCCUUUGUAGGUGGGUCUGCUCUUGAGAUAGAUGGAGUUUUGGAAAACUUUUAAAUGAGCUUUUUUCUCCUAAAAAAAA
rnacentral:misc_RNA from 1 species